rnacentral:misc_RNA from 1 species
AUUGGAUCCCAUUUUAGGGACAGGUUUGUAUGUUUUGGUGAUAGAAACUACUUUCUUCCUUUUCUUCUCUGUUUUUGUCACCCCACCCUCUGGUUCUCUCAUUCCCUCUCUGUAUGAUAAAUAUAUGUCUGUGUGAUGGGAAGUGUUACUCUUGGCAAGACAAUUUAUUCCAGUUUCCCACAUUGCAUACCAUUCAUGUCAUAAAUUAUUAUCUUUCCACUUGUUCAUUGUGUAAGUAUUUGUUGGUAUUGAUGCACCCUUCAACAUUAUUGGAUAUUGUUGUAUUUUGAAAUGACCUUGCUUCUUUAUGCGACUAAUUUCUUAAAAUACCCCUAAACAGAAUUCAUAGGAAAUUAGCUUUUAGAUAUAAUUGCAAGUUUGUACUUGAACUUGAUAGAAGCUAAUUAAAUAGAUAAAUUUUUAUCAACUUCUAUGAGUUGACUACUGCUGCUGUACCUUGUGUUCAGGCAACUCAGCUGUUCAA